AAGUGCAACGAAUGCUUUCUUCUUUGUGGCAAUCGGUUGGCUGUUGACAUGGAUCGUGUUGAGCAAUAAAUUGAUCCGAUCUGCUUGAAAAAAUUUUAAAUUUAUUAUAAAUCGCAUAUUGUGAAUUUUAUAAAAAUAUAAUAUAGUACAUAUACUAUAAGUUUACCAUGAGCACUCGCAUUUAUAUAGGACGUUUGAAUUAUGAUGUUAGAGAAAGGGAUUUGGAGAAGUUUUUCAAAAGUUAUGGAAGAAUUAAUGGCAUAAUGAUAAAGAAGGGAUUUGCAUUCGUAGAAUUUGAUGACUAUCGUGAUGCUGAUGAUGCAGUUUUUGAGUUGAAUGGGAAGAAACUUCUGGGAGAAAGAGUAACUAUCGAACAUGCCCGAGGGUCGCCACGAGGAAACGACAUGUAUAGAGAUCGUAAUAGAGGAUAUCAACGUCCAAUGCAAAAUAGGCGUCGCCAGGGAGGAGGUCGCGACAAGUACACUCCACCUACAAGAACUGAGUAUCGACUUAUUGUGGAAAAUUUGAGCAGCAGGGUGAGCUGGCAGUUACCAUCCAUCCAGCCCGAGAAUCUGGUAAAGGGUUGCGAUGUGCACUAAGAGGUGAAGCGGGCAGGUUGCACAUAGUCCUGUUUAUCUUCUACAAUCAUCCUUCCUAACGAUGGGACCACUUGUUGUGGCAGUACUGAUCAAUGGACAUGUUGGACCUUGGCAGUGUGGUGGAUCUCGGCUGCAAUACUCUGUGGUUGGAUCCAAAGACAAGCUUAAUGCAACCAUUAAACAACCAUAAUGCAACCAUUGGGUGGCAUAAUGGAACCUAAGACUCAAAGGGUCAGGUCCUCUCUCUCCCAGCACAACCUGGCGUGCAGCAGGUUCUGGGUUUCAACAACCCAUCAAUGGUUGGGCAAGUGCAGUGUGUGGUGGUCCCUACGAGCAAUAUACCUGUAUCUAUUGACGUCACUGUUUUUUCAUUCAGGAUCUGAAAGAUUACAUGCGACAAGCUGGUGAGGUGACUUAUGCUGACGCCCAUAAACUGAGACGCAAUGAAGGGUAAGUC